CAUAUACUAAGCGGAGGAAAGAACCAACGGGGAUUCCCAUAGUAACUGCGAGUGAAUGGGAAGAGCCCAGCGCUGAAUCCGAAUGCUGGCAACGGUGUUUGGAACUGUAGCGUGAAGGUGGUCUUAAUCCGUGCGGCUGGCUAGCGUAAGUUCUCCUGAGUGAGGCUCCAUGCUAGGAAGGGUGCAAGCCCCGUAUCGCCGGCAGCCUGUGCGGAUGUUGAAGAUCUACCAGAGAGUCGCCUUGUUUGCGAGUACAAGGUGAAGUCGGUGGUAAACGCCAUCGAAGGCUAAAUAUGACCACGAGUCCGAUAGCGAACAAGUACAGUGAUGGAAAAUUGAAAAGAACUUUGAAGAGAGAGUGAAACAGUGCGUGAAACCGCUCAGAGGCAAGCAGAUGGGGCCUCGAAGGCAGAGCGAGGAAUUCAGUUGGUAGUCCGUCAGCGGUGGUUGGGAUGUGAGAUUGCAAAACUCUGCCUGGCCAUGCGCAGCGGCUGCUAAUGCACUUUCCUCGCUUGUACGCCCCCGCCGUUGACGCUUAGCAUCCGCCUGGCUUGCACCGUGGAGCACUUCUCUUUCGGGAGUCGUUGUCUCACAGCGAGUUUUGGCGCGUUUGUUCGUCAACCGGUCAGGUCAGCAUGUACCAGCGUAAGCGUUGGGCUCAGCGCUCUGCUGCGGCGUAGUGGAUGACGGAUGCAAAUCCGGCUCUGCUGCACGCGGUAGAAUCGCGAAGGUUUUCAACGUGGUACAUUGUAGAUC
rnacentral:rRNA from 1 species